UGUAAUACGUCACGUGACGUCACCAUAAUUUGCUAAAAUUUAGUUUAAAAAAGAAAUUAAAAAAAAAAAUUAAAAAAAAAAUUAAAAAAUUCACAUGAUUAAUACUCUCAAAUGUGAACCUUGUAUGCUUGCAUCCAGCUGUGGAAAUUCUGGGAAAAUACCCGUCAAUGCCCGUUAAUGAUGACGUUAUAUUCCCGCUUGCAACCACGACUUCCUCCUUUUCGGACUUCAUCAAGCAGAUAUGCCAGGACCUGGUUCAACUACUAAGAAAUGUGCUUCUUGUUCUAUGCCACUCAAUGUGGCUUGCAAGACGUGCAAGUACUGCAAAGCAGUGCAGCCCCACAAUCUGCGUUUGAAAAAAAAAAUAGAAAGAUUUGAUUUGAAAUCAGAGACAUGGGCCCAGGCCCAGAAAAAGAAUAACACUUCAUCCCACCUGAUGGAUGACGCUUCUUUGUUGCUGGAAAGGUUUCAGGCCCUUGGCUCCAGGGGUGUGUUAUUUAUAUCCCGCCCUGGAACUAAAUCAUGGACCUGUGAGGUUCUUCUGCCCAGAUGUAAAGUCACUGAAUCAGCAUCUGCCUGCCUAAAGAGGAUGGAGGCGUUGUUUGAAUUUGUUGUGCAAGGUUGGAGUCAGUCAGAGAAAGUAGCAGCCUCAGCAGCAGAGAUCCCACAGCCUCCUGUAGACAACUCACUGGCCACAUCAAGUUAUUAUGGAGCCCCUGCUCUUCCCAUUCCUUCCCCUUCAGCUCCUAAUCUUGCCAGUCCUACCCCUCCAGCGCCUACCCUUUCCAUUCCUACCCUUCCAGCCCCUACUCUUUCCUUUCCUACCACUCCAGCUCCUACUCUCCCCAUUCCUACCACUCCAGCUCCUACUCUCCCCAUUCCUACCACUCCAGCUCCUACUCUUCCCAUUUCUACCACUCCAGCUCCUACUCUUCCCAUUUCUACCACUCCAGCUCCUACUCUUCCCAUUUCUACCACUCCAGCCCCUUCUCUUUCCAUUCCUACCCUUCCAGUCUCUACUCUUUCCAUUCCUACCACUCCAGCUCCUACUCUUUCCAUUCCUACCCCUCCAGUCUCUACUCUUUCCUUUCCUACCACUCCAGCUUCUACUCUUCCCAUUCCUACCACUCCAGCCCCUACUCUUUCCAUUCCUACCCCUCCAGUCUCUACUCUUUCCAUUCCUACCACUCCAGCUCCUACUCUUUCCAUUCCUACCACUCCAGCUUCUACUCUUCCCAUUCCUACCCCUCCAGCUCCUACUCUUCCCAUUCCUACCCCUCCAGCUUCUACUCUUCCCAUUCCUACCCCUCCAGCUUCUACUCUUCCCAUUCCUACCACUUCAGCUUCUACUCUUCCCAUUCCUACCCCUCCAGCUCCUACUCUUUCCAUUCCUACCACUCCAGCUCCUACUCUUUCCAUUCCUACCACUCCAGCUUCUACUCUUCCCAUUCCUACCCCUCCAGCUCCUACUCUUCCCAUUCCUACCCCUCCAGCUUCUACUCUUCCCAUUCCUACCACUUCAGCUUCUACUCUUCCCAUUCCUACCCCUCCAGCUCAUACUCUUCCCAUUCCUACCCCUCCAGCUUCUACUCUUCCCAUUCCUACCACUUCAGCUUCUACUCUUCCCAUUCCUACCCCUCCAGCUCAUACUCUUCCCAUUCCUACCACUCCAGCUUCUACUCUUCCCAUUCCUACCCCUCCAGCUCCUACUCUUUCCAUUCCUACCACUCCAGCUCCUACUCUUUCCAUUCCUACCACUCCAGCUUCUACUCUUCCCAUUCCUACCCCUCCAGCUCCUACUCUUCCCAUUCCUACCCCUCCAGCUUCUACUCUUCCCAUUCCUACCACUUCAGCUUCUACUCUUCCCAUUCCUACCCCUCCAGCUCAUACUCUUCCCAUUCCUACCCCUCCAGCUUCUACUCUUCCCAUUCCUACCACUUCAGCUUCUACUCUUCCCAUUCCUACCCCUCCAGCUCAUACUCUUCCCAUUCCUACCCCUCCAGCUCAUACUCUUCCCAUUCCUACCACUCCAGCUUCUACUCUUCCCAUUCCUACCCCCCCAGCUCAUAAUCUUGCCAUCCCUGCUCCUGGAGGAAACAAGAGGAAGAAAAAUAAUGAUUGCUCUCACAGCAGCCAGGAAGUAUUCAAGGGAGAUAUUUUGAAGGAACGAGUUAAAGAGGUUGGUCAGCCAUUACCUGAUAUGGAUAAAAACUAGGCAGUAGAACAUUAAAGAAUGGAUGUUAAUGCAAGGGAAGGAAGGAAUACCUUCUGAAAUGGCACCCUUGCAGUUUAUGUGGAAAAAAAUGGAGAAGCACCUGGGUGGAGGAGGAUUCCUUCCUUAUGUAGUGUGUGUGUGUGUGUCUGUGUGAGUGUUUAAUAAACCGU